GCCGCUGCCCGCCUUCGGGCGGGGAGAGGAAAGUCCGGGCAACACAGAGCGCCGUUCUUCCUAACGGGAAGAUGUCCGCAAGGGCAUAGCAGCGUAACAGAGAACAACCGCCGCGGAAAGGCAAGCUAAAGGUUCUUCGGUAAGGACUAUGAUCGUCCGUUCUGCGGUAAGGGUGAAAAGGCGGUGUAAGAGACCACCGGUGUCCGUGGAGACACGGACAGCCGUACGCCUAACGGGUUGCAAGACCAUGUACACCGGCGUUUGAGGGCUGCUCGUCCGAGUCGGGGGGUAGGUUGCUGACGACCUGACGGGGCGACCCGCAGGCUAGAUAAAUGGCAGAGGCCGCCGGAAACUUCGGUGCCCGGCGGUACAAAACCCGGCUUAUACGUCCU
rnacentral:RNase_P_RNA from 1 species